CCUGUCCGGGCGGUGACUCACCGGAGGCUGUGCCUGCAGCGGAGCAGGAGCCUUGGCCCCUCAGAGGAAGUCAGCAGUCAGUUUUCUUCAACAAACUUCCUGGCCCGGGUCUUGAGGCGCCCCUCCUGGCCCCAGAGGUCCCCGUCCCCACAGACUGGAGCAUGCCAUGAGCCUGCACCUCUCUAAGCUGCCCGCAGGCCACCAGGACUGCUUAGGAGAUCCGCGCAGAGCAGCAGCACAGGACCUGGUCACAGGAGGUGUGCAGCUGGGCCUGCAGUGACGAGUGUCUUUCACAGACACUGAACUCUGCCCAGGAAAGGUCCUGCUUCUCAGCAGUCGCCAGCACACAUGACAGUGGACAGAGCAGGUACUGAGGACGGCAAGCCCACAGUCUACCUUUCCAGUAAUGCUACUUAGAUCUCCGUAGGAGGCUAAGGUGCCCUGGCUGCCCUUGAACCUGCGAUCUCCUGUCUCGGCCUUCCAGGUGCUGGGAUCACAGGUGACUGGUUCUUUUCCUCUGGCCGGGCCUGGCCCGAGGUGGCCAAAUCACCUGUCUCCACCCCUGCACCUGGGAGCCUCCCCACUUCCUGUGCCCGGGCAGCACCUGCCAAAAGCCUUCAUGAAGCUAAGGAAAACAAAGGACAUCAGCCCAUCAACACCUCCACCAGUCACUAAAUGACUGCUAAAUAGCCCCAAAAUGUCCCACUGGACUGUGUCAUCCAAACACUGCCACCCAGCCAGGCCGGGUUUUAGUAAAUACGAACACUUCCCUAGCAUCAGGACUGCGGGGCAAACACUUCAGCGGGCCUGGCUGGAC
rnacentral:lncRNA from 1 species